rnacentral:misc_RNA from 1 species
UCUGCGAGCGGUGCGAGCGCU